rnacentral:rRNA from 1 species
AUACGUAGGGGGCGAGCGUUGUCCGGAAUGACUGGGCGUAAAGGGCGUGUAGGCGGCGGUGUAAGUCUGGAGUGAAAGUCCCGCAUUCAAUGUGGGAAUUGCUUUGGAUACUGCAGUGCUAGAGUGCGGAAGAGGUAAGUGGAAUUCCCAGUGUAGCGGUGAAAUGCGUAGAGAUUGGGAGGAACACCAGUGGCGAAGGCGACUUACUGGGCCGUAACUGACGCUGAGGCGCGAAAGCGUGGGGAGCGAACAGGAUUAGAUACCCUGGUAGUCCACGCGGUAAGCGAGGAAUGCUAGGUGUUGCGGGUAUCGACCCCUGCAGUGCCGGAGUAAACACAAUAAGCAUUCCGCCUGGGGAGUACGGCCGCAAGGUUGAAACUCAAAGGAAUUGGCGGGGG